rnacentral:rRNA from 1 species
UACAGAGGGUGCAAGCGUUAAUCGGAGUUACUGGGCGUAAAGGGCGCGUAGGCGGUAGUAUGGGUGUGAUGUGAAAGCCCCGGGCUUAACCUGGGAAGCGCAUCGCAAACUAUAUAACUGGAGUAUAUGAGAGGGUGGCGGAAUUUCCGGUGUAGCGGUGAAAUGCGUAGAGAUCGGAAGGAACGUCAAUGGCGAAGGCAGCCACCUGGCAUAAUACUGACGCUGAGGCGCGAAAGCGUGGGGAGCGAACAGGAUUAGAUACCCUGGUAGUCCACGCUGUAAACGAUGAAGACUAGAUGUUGGAAGGGGAACCUUUCAGUAUCGAAGCUAACGCGAUAAGUCUUCCGCCUGGGAAGUACGGCCGCAAGGUUGAA